GCCGGGUUGGUGGAAUAGGUAGACACGUUGGACUUAAAAUCCAAUGGCCAGUAAUGGCCGUGCAAGUUCGAUUCUUGUACCCGGUA
rnacentral:tRNA from 1 species